GCAGAAAAAUUAGAUGAUGCGCUUGCCAUUUGAAGCUACGGGCACCACGGCCCUCCAAACUCAGAAAACGAACUCUAAGAAGGCCUAAAGUUUGAGCAGUUUGAGAAAGACUGCCCCUAUCGACUUCCAGUAGCAAGAGUUUCUCUACGGUACAAUCUAAUCAGCUCGUGGAUAUACACAUAUUCGGACUUUGUCCAAUACCCACAACUAGCAGUUUGACUCGUAUGAAUCAUGCAAUAUCUUGGCAAUAUCUUAUGGGUAUAUUUUCAACAUUGAUAUAAGCUAUAAACGCCUUACAAGCUUUAGAAGACAAAAAACGGCUUUCAAUGAAUCUCAUCACUAGCUGACUCGAGUCUGCAAUUAAUAAAAGCGUGCCAAUCACGUGAUCUAUGGUUCCAUACCUCAGGGGUAGCUGAACUUUGGAUAAACGGAAAUUUGAUGGUUGAAUGUGUGUCAGACGACGAUUGGUACUUUGAACCCUCGAUCAGACACAUCCACACAUAUACACAUAGGAGAAGGGCGGUAGACAAUUGACUACAUAUUUCAAUUGGAAUUUGUUUAUAGGCAAAUCAAUUGAUUCACAUGAGAACCUUUGACGUCUCCAAUUGCCAAACAAUUUGCUGGCCCAUGCUGUCAAUUAGACUUUGUGCCUUCAUGGCGCAACAGAACAGCCAAAUUGCAAAGCACUAGCCGAGGGAAAGCCUCACGCAACCUUUGCUGAUAGCAGAACAAAUUUGCUUAUCGGAGGAGGUACUCUGCU